rnacentral:snRNA from 1 species
AAAAUGCAAUUAGUUUAUGCU